rnacentral:pre_miRNA from 1 species
CUGUGUAGAUGGUGUUCAGCACCAAGGACAGGUAUGUAUGCCUGUGUGUGGAUGGUGUUCAGUACCAAGGACAAAGGUUUUUGCUU